AACGAACGCUGGCGGCAUGCCUAAUACAUGCAAGUCGAACGAGACCUUCGGGUCUAGUGGCGCACGGGUGCGUAACGCGUGGGAACCUGCCCUUAGGUUCGGAAUAACUCCCCGAAAGGGGUGCCAAUACGGGAUAAUGUCUUCGGCCCAAAGAUUUAUCGACCUUGGAUGUGCCCGCGUUGGAUUAGCUUGUUGGUAGGCUAAAAGCCUACCAAGGCGACGAUCCAUAGCUGGGUUGUGAGGAUGAUCAGCCACACUGGGACUGAGACACGGCCCAGACUCCUACGGGAGGCAGCAGUGGGGGAUGUUGGACCGUGGGCGAAAGCAUGAUCCAGCAAUGCCGCGUGAGUGAUGAAAGCCUUAGGGUUGUAAAGCUCUUGUACCCGGGAUGAUAAUGACAGUACCGGGAGAAUAAGCUCCGGCUAACUCCGUG
rnacentral:rRNA from 1 species